AUUUUCAAGGGAAAUGUAAACCGAUUUCCUGAAUAGAGACAUUACUAGCUUUCAAAGUUCUCAUCACUUACAUUGUCUUGAUCAACUUCUUUGAUAAUAUCCUCAAGAAGAACAUCAGUCAUGCCAUGUUCUGAGCAAGCUUGCUGGAG